GAUGAACGCUGGCGGCGUGCUUAAUACAUGCAAGUCGAACGAAGAGCUUUUGUAGCAAUACGAGAGCUUCUUAGUGGCGAACGGGUGCGUAACGCGUUGGUGACCUGCCCCGAAGUGUGGGAUAACAGUUCGAAAGGAUUGCUAAUACCGCAUGUGGUUUUUCCGGAUUAGAGGCCGGAUCUCUAAAGCAGUAAUGCGCUUCGGGAGGGACCUGCGUCCCAUCAGCUAGUUGGUAAGGUAGUGGCUUACCAAGGCGACGACGGGUAGGGGGCCUGAGAGGGUGAUCCCCCACACUGGCACUGAAACACGGGCCAGACACCUACGGGAGGCAG
rnacentral:rRNA from 1 species